UGCCCGUUAGCGGCAUUCAGCCCCCCCGGUGAUUCAGACGGGGUCCCCUGACGUUGCGGCGGACGGGUGAGUAACACGUGGGCAACCUGCCUGUAAGACUGGGAUAACUUCGGGAAACCGAAGCUAAUACCGGAUAGGAUCUUCUCCUUCAUGGGAGAUGAUUGAAAGAUGGUUUCGGCUAUCACUUACAGAUGGGCCCGCGGUGCAUUAGCUAGUUGGUGAGGUAACGGCUCACCAAGGCAACGAUGCAUAGCCGACCUGAGAGGGUGAUCGGCCACACUGGGACUGAGACACGGCCCAGACUCCUACGGGAGGCAGCAGUAGGGAAUCUUCCGCAAUGGACGAAAGUCUGACGGAGCAACGCCGCGUGAGUGAUGAAGGCUUUCGGGUCGUAAAACUCUGUUGUUAGGGAAGAACAAGUACAAGAGUAACUGCUUGUACCUUGACGGUACCUAACCAGAAAGCCACGGCUAACUACGUGCCAGCAGCCGCGGUAAUACGUAGGUGGCAAGCGUUAUCCGGAAUUAUUGGGCGUAAAGCGCGCGCAGGCGGUUUCUUAAGUCUGAUGUGAAAGCCCACGGCUCAACCGUGGAGGGUCAUUGGAAACUGGGGAACUUGAGUGCAGAAGAGAAAAGCGGAAUUCCACGUGUAGCGGUGAAAUGCGUAGAGAUGUGGAGGAACACCAGUGGCGAAGGCGGCUUUUUGGUCUGUAACUGACGCUGAGGCGCGAAAGCGUGGGGGAGCAAACAGGAUUAGAUACCCUGGUAGUCCACGCCGUAAACGAUGAGUGCUAAGUGUUAGAGGGUUUCCUGCCCUUUAGUGCUGCAGCUAACGCAUUAAGCACUCCGCCUGGGGAGUACGGUCGCAGACUGAAACUCAAGGAAUUGACGGGGGCCCGCACAAGCGUGGAGCAUGUGGUUUAAUUCGAAGCAACGCGAAGAACUUACCAGUCCUUGACAU
rnacentral:rRNA from 1 species